UGGAAGAAGGAGUUUAUUAUGGUUCCUG
rnacentral:piRNA from 1 species